UGGACCGAGUGGUCACGUCUGUCUGUCACUUUGGGGGAAUGGGAAGAGAGAGACUCACUUAAAUCUUCUUCUUCCUUCUGUCUGGAAUUCGAUACUUUGAAACGCAGAAGGCAGAACCAGAGCAAGAACGCAGCUCUGCAACGACAAAACUCUAAAACGCCCAGACCGUUUAGGCCAUCGAGUCGCCCGCCUAGGCCGCCCAAGCACCGCCUAGGCUGCCUCCGCGCCCGCCUAAUCCUCUUGCCGAUUUUUCUCCCGAUUAUGGGCUAAUCGGAGCGGCUAGCCACCGUGUAGCGCCUAGGCGGCCGCCUAGGCCGAUUUUUAGAACACUG
rnacentral:lncRNA from 1 species